AUUUUUACCAAGGGGUGUCGGGCAACCGGCUGAGAUGCGAAAGCGAACCCUUAAUACCUGAUCCGGUUAAUACUGGCGUAGGGAUGGUAGUCUAAAAACCA
rnacentral:ncRNA from 2 species